UUACCUUGCUGUGAUGAUAAAAUUUCUAAUCCCAGCUCGAUGAGACUUCCCUUUGUGGGUUGUCUGGGAUCAAAAUAUGACAUUACUAUCUGAGCAGGUUU